rnacentral:rRNA from 1 species
UGCGGAAUUUUAGAUAAUGGAGGCAACUCUGAUCUAGCGACGCCGCGUGCAGGAAGAAGGUCUUCGGAUUGUAAACUGCUGUGGUAAGGGAAAAAUGCUAUGUAGAGUGGAAAGCUACAUGGAGGGAUGGUACUUUACUAGAAAGCCCCGGCUAACUACGUGCCAGCAGCCGCGGUAAUACGUAGGGGGCGAGCGUUACCCGGAAUCACUGGGCGUAAAGGGAGCGUAGGUGGCCUGACAUGUCAACUGUGAAAACCCGGAGCUCAACUCCGGACUUGCAGUUGAAACUGCCAGGCUUGAGGACGGUAGAGGAAGACGGAACUGCCAGUGUAGGGGUAAAAUCCUUAGAUAUUGGCAGGAACGCCGGUGACGAAGGUGGUUUUCUGGGCCGGUUCUGACACUGAUGCUCGAAAGCCAGGGGAGCGAACG